rnacentral:pre_miRNA from 1 species
CAAUAAGUCACUUUGAUGAUUGUCAAACACUAUAAUAAGUGAAAAACUGAUUUUUAAGUCAGUUUAACCAACUUAAAAGCCAAUUCAAACGAACACAUAUUAAAAUGUUUGACAAUUAUCAGAGUGACUUGUUUUA